UGGCGGAAUUAAGAGCUGUUUCUGUGACCAGUAUAACUAAGCAACAGUUAGAUCUCAAAGAACCAGCUCAUCCAGAAUGUGUGUGGACUGUCCACACAGUUUGAUGUUUUCCAAAUGAAUUUUUUAUCAUUUGCCCUGGUCCAGUCGAUGAGAUCAUGCAGGUUGUCUCCAAAAGCCCUCACUGCUGCUUCUUAAGAGAUUCUGAGGAUUAAGUACACUGAAUUGAGGUUUUCCAUCUCCUUAUCAGGGCUAGACGUGUGAAGUGUCUGGGCUUGAAUUGACGCCUCAGGUCCACUUAACCCUUCUUUGUAGUUAGCAAAGUAUUUGCCUGCCUUUGAGUGGUGCCCAACAAAACCAGGACCAGAAAGAACACCUUUCUGCCUGUUGUAACGUGCAUUUCUUUGUCUCCAGGCUCUCCUCGCCCCCUUUUACAUACUAAUCUUAAUCCUGAAGUUUUUGUCCUUUAUGAACUUCAUUAUAAAACUACUUUAUUCUUGAAAUUAUUUGUAUUACAGUUGUGAUUGUUUUAAUUAUGGAAAGCAGUGGACUAAGAGAAAAUUGUGAGAUUAUAAGUGGUGGCCUAAAGCCAGAGAAGGAACUUUUCAUUGGGAAGAUUUGUACUGAAGGUUUCUAUCACUUGUGACCAAGAAUUGGUUUAGGAAAAAGUUAGGGUGAGUGGAAUACUGAAGAAAAUAAGGGAAUUUGGGAAGGAUUAGUAGUUUUCUUGUCAAAAGGGAGCUGAGAAAUAUGCAGCCUUAACUUUCUAGUCCUCCAUAUCAAGAAAAGAAAAAUUUACUAAUUUUUUCCAGGGAAAAUAUAAGCAGGACUAUCCUGAUUCUGCCCCCAAAAUCAAACAACUUAUCUUUAUGUUUCAGUUUUUUCUCUGCAGUAUGAGGAUAGAGAUAUUGAGCAGUUUUUGUGAGGUGGUUUGAGAGCUGUAACUGUAAGUGCAAGCUAACACAGCAGUGCUUUCCUUUGAUGCUGAAUGCUGAGAGCAUGAUGCAGGACUAAGAAGUUGCUGGAUAAAUAAUAGCAUAUGAUGGUCACAGAUAAUGACAUUUGUGAUUUUAUGCAAUGUGAUGUGAUUUGUUUUCUUCUAUGUUUUUUUUCCCAUGGGGGAAAGCAGGCAACUGUUUUUUCCAGUGCUGAGAUGUAAUCUACAAAGCUGAUUCUGACGAAAAAUUAGCCCAUGAUCUCUUGAUGAAUGAUCAAAACAGGUGUUCAGCCGUCUCAAGGAAAGCAGUGCUCCAUCACCUGUAAUGGUUACUUCAGAAGACAAAUGCCAUCACUCCAAACACCUGUCCCUUCCUCCUCCUUCCCCCAGCAUUAUAUGAGGUACUACGUGUUCCCAACCUAAUGGGUAGCUAGUUAUCUGAUGAGUGCUCAUGGAAGAGAUGAUUAUCUCAUUUCUCAAUCAUGGCUGGGAAGUCACCAGGACACUUUUUGUGAAGGACAUCUAGCCAGCUCUGCUCACCUUGUGAAGCAUUGUCCCAGCACAGGUUCGCCCCUCUCCCUUGGCAUAUCACAGCUGAGUUGCAACUACUCGUAGACAUAGCCCAGAUAGAUAGUUUCUGUUGCAGUUUCUGUUCUUUGACUCUUUUGAUCUCUGAAAAGAGUAAUGCUUCUCUGCCAGAUGAACAGUUCAUAUAGGGCCAGACUCAGUGAAAAGGGCAUUUGCUGUGAUGACCUGUGUGAGAAUAAAUAUAAUCAGCAAAGUAUGGAACCUGGUACCAAGGAGGUGACAACGUUUGCACUUAGCAUGGUAUCUCACUGACAAUUUGGGGGUAAUUUAUUUAUUCCUCCUAUUGGGACAAGUAAUACACACACGUGUCAGGCAGCUGUAGGUAGACUACUGCUGUCUUUGUUUGUGAGAAUGUCCAGAGGGAUGACAGGAGUAACUCAGCAACAUAUCCUGACAUAUAGGGCAAUCACAAAUUCCGGAAUUAGCCGUUGAUUCCCACUUUUGUGGACAUGUUCCAUGGAAAAAGCAAUUGCUGUAACUCAGUUUGUGUUAAUAACUAUUUUGCCAAGUGCAUGCAGCAUCCGGACAAUGCAGCUGUUCUAGCUCAGCACUGGCAGUACCACGUGUUGCUAUGUGCUCCCCUGCCACAUGGCCUUGCUGGCUUAUGCAGGCAGGAUAUUGAGGUUCUUCUGCACUGUGCAGUUGAGCCUGAGGUGAGCGUGAUAUUUCGCUGGUCUGGCAUGGCUUGUCUAAUUAACUAAAGCUGCCACACAAGCUGCCGUGAUCUACCCUGUGGACUGUGUCUCAGGCCUGUUCUUCAUUCCUGUCUGCAAACAUAAGCUUGAGCGUGAAGGGGAAGGAUAACCUGGCCUGAAUGGCAGUCACAGAGCAGUCAUUUUGCAAAAGCUGUCCUGUAGCCCUCCCCCUGGUUUGGUGAGCAUCACUUUUAUGGCACUGCAUUACUUGCAGGGCUGGAAAGGACAUCUUAGCAGAGCCCCACCAAUGAAAAACAGUAACACGGUUACCUGGGGUGACCCUCCUUCCAAGUGGAAGGUGUGCAGAACAGUGAGCUGGCUGCUACCCACAGGGACAGGGGUUUUUAAGGGAGCUGGAACAGUCCAUCCUGCAAGGGGCUUGGAGCAGCUCGGUGUGGUCAGCAGCCACAGGGGACUGAAUACUCAUCGGUGGCCUCCCCACCCAGAGGGCAAUGUGCCAGAAACACGACAAGAGGAGGAGGCAGGAGAAAGAGAGACUAUCACAGCAGUGAAGGAGCAAAAAUGUAUCAAAGAUUAAACAGGGCAACAAACUGGAUCAGAGUAGGGGCCUCCUCUCAUGGAGCUACAGUGGAAAGAAAUGUGCAAAGCAGCAACAGCAAUGUAGGAUUUUCUGCAGCUAGAGAAAGUGAGCCUGAGCUAGAAGUGCUCAGGGCAGUGGAAGAGCUGGGGGAUAGUGCCUUGAGAAGCUGAUGCCUGCACUAAUGCUUUUCCCAUAAGUAUCACUCCCUUCAGACUUUGCUGUACUUUCGUGAUGUGAUGACAAAAACAAUGGGGGAAAUGACAAAAACAACUGGGAGAAAUGAGUGAUUACCCCAGGCUUGGUACAAGAGUUCAUUAGAUUGAAAAAUAUCUGAUGAAAUUGUGCUUCCUAGGACUGACCCAAAGGAUCAUCAAUUUGUAGUAGUAUUAACCACUGACAAAAACUAUAAACAACAGUUUAGUUAAUGUGCUGGAGUUUAAUAAUGUAAAUGCUAAUACAGAAUUACUUGCAGUGUUGUGAUGGAAAAAAAUUUACGGUGCUGGAAAUGUAAUUAUUGAAGGUGACUGUAAUUUUGGCUUCAGUUAAAUCGUUUUCCUUCCAAAUGUAACACUCUUCAGUGAGAUCAUUCAUAACUUCUGUAUUUAUUUCACUUGGCUUAAUUAGCACAUAGUGUAAAUUAACCCCUCUCAAAAACAUGACUUAUGUGCUGUGAUUUAACCAAUUUGUUAAAUGCAGCCUUGUUUUGUGUUGAUUCUUGCCAAUUUAGGCAGUGAUCUCAGUUUGCUUUGUCCUGGCUUCUCCUUCUCUGAUCAGUGCCCUGCCUUUUAUUAUUCAACAAUUGCAGUUACGUCAGGAGUGUAUGAUUAAGCUCAUGGAAAAUGUAGUGCUGGUUUCUUGAAAUCAGGGAACAAGAUGUAAAGUAAUUUCAUUCAUCAAAAUAAUGCACUUGAUUCCGGGACUUUUUUAGAAUGGUCAAUGUGCUGAUUUUAAUCAUUUAGAAAAGCCUGGUAUUUCUGAAUUAAGCAAGCUGGGAUUUCUAAACAGAAAUCAGUUUCUUAUUGCGUAAUAGGAAGUAAUACAUUAAAAAAAAUCUCUUAUUUUAUACAUCAAGGAAUGCCUUAAAAUCUUUUCUUUCUAGAACAAUCCUUUGUGUUAUAAGAAAAGGAAUAUUAUCAGAGAAAGGCCAAGGUGCCUUUUUAGUUUCCUCUGUUUGUUUCAGGUGGAUGAAAGGGAGAAAAAUGAUCUGUUGGGGAAAAGGCCACAUCUAUGUAAAGAAGGAAGGAUUCUAAUCUGCUGUUGUUGUUAUUGUUAGGAAAAUAUGGGUUAAAAAGGCUAAUACCUUGUUUCUAAGCUAUUUUGAAGGUAAAUAUGAUCUCUAGUAGUGCUGUGAAUGCAGAACUACAAGAUGUAAUGAGUGUGUAUGUUUGUGUGUCGAUAGCUACAGAAAGAGAGGUCUACAUCUGUCACUGUAUCUUAGAUUGGUACUAGGUUUUUGACUUGUCUUUAAAGCAUCAAGAUCAUGUGGUGGAAGGGAGCCAUUUGCCUUCCUUAUUGUCACAUUUUCCUAACUUUGAUUGGUGCAUUGUAUACCCAGGGAAGGAGUAUCUGGCAGCUAUACUUCUUCCCUGAAAAGAAACGACUGUGAGUGAAGUUGAAAGACCUAGAAGACUGUAAAUGGUAAAGAGAAGUGAGCGGGGGACUGUUUGUUUUGUCUUCUAAUACAAACUGUAGGAGCAUGAAAUAAAUAGGAUGAGCUUGAUGGCGUGUUCAGAACAAGCAAAGGAGAUACUUUUUUGGGCAGUGAUCCAUGAAACUCAUUGCUGCAGGAGCUGAAUGCUUGUUGUGGUUGAAAAAAGGGACUGGAGAAAUUAAUGUAAGAAAAAUCAUUGGGGUUGUUAAAUGCAAAGGCCUCAUCUCUAGCUCAGGUAGUCUUUGAUCCUUAAAUCACUGGCAGACUUACACCUCCUUGCCCUGUUUUUAUGUUCCUCUCCGGUCAUCUGCUGCUAGCCACUUUAACAGAGAGGGAGCACUGGCCUAAAUGGGGCUGUGGUCUGAAGCAAUAGAGCUGUUUCUGCAUGUGCUGUGUGUGCUGCCAAGGGAAGGUUGCAGUCACCGUGUGGCUAUUUAGAUUUACGAGGGGCUCGGUGAAGUAGUGACAACUGAGUCGCGAUGUAUCAGUGGUACCUGUUGUCUUCUCAGUUUUUCUUAUGAAAGAUGGCUUGAGCCUUUGGCCAGUUACAAUUUUGCCUCCUAUUUACAAUUAUUUGGUUGAUGCUACUCUCAGAGCUGAAGACUUUUCU